CAGUCGCCGCGGGAAUACGAAGGGGGCUAGCGUUGCUCGGAAUUAUUGGGCGUAAAGGGUGCGUAGGCGGUUCAGCAAGUCUCGUGUGAAAUCUUCGGGCUCAACCCGAAGUCUGCACGGGAAACUACUGGGCUUGAGUAAUGGAGAGGUGAGUGGAAUUUCCGGUGUAGCGGUGAAAUGCGUAGAUAUCGGAAGGAACACCUGUGGCGAAAGCGGCUCACUGGACCAUAACUGACGCUGAGGCACGAAAGCUAGGGGAGCAAACAGGAUUAGAUACCCCCGUAGUCCCUGUCUCUUAUAC
rnacentral:rRNA from 1 species